rnacentral:misc_RNA from 1 species
ACACCUCAACUCUCAUGGUUUGCCAUGAUGAGCUUGGACUUUGGGGGUCUUGCUGGCCUAUGGUCAGCUCCUCUCAAAUGGAUCAGCUUGCCAGUGUUUGGUGGCGUCAUGGGUGUGAUAACUAUCUACGCUCGUGGUUCCCUGCCAGGUAACCUUCGGAAACGGAGGUUCACUGGGGCUCACAAAUGUCUCUCCUCGGUGAGGACAGCUUUUUGAAC